rnacentral:rRNA from 1 species
UACAGAGGGGGCAAGCGUUGUUCGGAAUUACUGGGCGUAAAGGGCGCGUAGGCGGCCUUCUAAGUCAGACGUGAAAUCCCCGGGCUCAACCCGGGAACUGCGUCUGAUACUGGAAGGCUUGAAUCCGGGAGAGGGAUGUGGAAUUCCAGGUGUAGCGGUGAAAUGCGUAGAUAUCUGGAGGAACAUCGGUGGCGAAGGCGGCAUCCUGGACCGGUAUUGACGCUGAGGCGCGAAAGCCAGGGGAGCAAACGGG